rnacentral:rRNA from 1 species
UACAGAGGUCUCGAGCGUUAGGCGGAAUCACUGGGCUUAAAGCGUGUGUAGGCGGAUCGUUAAGUACCUUGUGAAAUCCCACGGCUUAACCGUGGAACUGCUUGGUAUACUGGCGGUCUUGAGCCAGCUAGGGGCUACCGGAACAAAUGGUGGAGCGGUGAAAUGACGUAGAUAUCAUUUGGAACGCCAAUGGUGAAAACAGGUAGCUGGGGCUGUGCUGACGCUGAGACACGGAAGGCCAGGGGAGCAAACGGG